AACUCUUUAAUGAAAACGAUAAACCUUUAAUGGAGGUUGAUUCUAUUGAGUAUAUGAGUUU
rnacentral:tRNA from 5 species